CUCUUUGGGUCUAAUCCAAAGCCCAUUGAAGUUAACGGGAGUCUUUCCAUUGACUUCAGUAGGCUUUGGAUCAGAUCCUCUGCUUG
rnacentral:pre_miRNA from 1 species